GAAACAGUGGCUAAGACUGGAUAGGAAGAAAUAAGGCAUCUUUUUUCUUUUAAAAGACCUAGUGAUAGGUAUACUUUAGGAGGGGCUUGCGCCAUAUUAGUUAGUUAGGUAGGGUAUGGCCUACCAAGACGAUGAUGUGUAGCUGGACUGAGAGGUUGAACAGCCACAUUGGGACUGAGACACGGCCCAAACUCCUACGGGAGGCAGCAGUAGGGAAUUUUCGGCAAUGGAGGAAACUCUGACCGAGCAACGCCGCGUGAACGACGAAGUACUUUGGUAUGUAAAGUUCUUUUAUCAAGGAAGAAAAGCAAGUGGUGAACCAUUUGUUUGCCGGUACUUGAUGAAUAAGCCCCGGCUAAUUAUGUGCCAGCAGCCGCGGUAAGACAUAAGGGGCAAGUGUUAUCCGGAAUUAUUGGGCGUAAAGGGUGCGUAGGCGGUCUAGUAAGUCAGUGGUGUAAUGGCAACGCUCAACGUUGUCCGGCUAUUGAAACUGCUAAACUUGAGUUAGAUAGAGGCGAGUGGAAUUCCGUGUGUAGCGGUAAAAUGCGUAAAUAUAUGGAGGAACACCAGAGGCGUAGGCGGCUCGCUGGGUCUUAACUGACGCUGAGGCACGAAAGCGUGGGGAGCAAACAGGAUUAGAUACCCUGGUAGUCCACGCCGUAAACGAUGAGUACUAAGUGUCGGGUUAAACCGGUACUGAAGUUAACACAUUAAGUACUCCGCCUGAGUAGUACGUACGCAAGUAUGAAACUUAAAGGAAUUGACGGGACUCGCACAAGCGGUGGAUCAUGUUGUUUAAUUCGAAGAUACCCGAAAAACCUUACCAGGUCUUGACAUGUUUUUGCGAAACGGUAGUAAUAUCGUGGAGGUUAUCAGAAACACAGGUGGUGCAUGGUUGUCGUCAGCUCGUGUCGUGAGAUGUUAGGUUAAGUCCUAAAACGAGCGAAACCCUUAUCGUUAGUUGCCAGCACGUUAUGGCGGGGACUUUAACGAGACUGCCAGUGAUAAAUUGGAGGAAGGUGAGGAUCACGUCAAAUCAGCAUGGCCCUUAUGACCUGGGCUACAAACGUGAUACAAUGGCUGUUACAAAGGGUAGCUGAAACGCAAGUUCUUGGCCAAUCCCCAAAAACAGUCUCAGUCCGGAUUGAAGUCUGCAACUCGACUUCAUGAAGUUGGAAUCGCUAGUAAUCGCGAAUCAGCAUGUCGCGGUGAAUACGUUCGCGGGGUUUGUACACACCGCCCGUCA
rnacentral:rRNA from 1 species